rnacentral:sRNA from 1 species
CUUCUCCAGGAACUCGAUUCCAGUUCCAAGUGGAUCAACUACAUCUUCGGACUUCUGCCUGGCUGGUGGCUAGGCGAGGAAGACAAUCGACCUAACGAGCCAUACGUGAAGCCUGCUCGAUGGGUAGCCGAGCUAGCUCGUGCCAGCUUUGGGAAGCUGGAUGCCGUUUACCAAGACGCAAAUGAACCCUUCCAACUCAACAGCAUUUUUGUUGCAAGGAUGGUGGCAAGCGAAAAGACGGAUAAAAGCAAUAAGGCUGUGUCACUUCUCUGUGAUGGCAACAAGAGUGGUGUUGACGUCUUUUCGCGCGUCCUAGAGGCCAAUGGGUACUCCGUCCAGCCUUUCCAACUUGGCCAGGAAUUUCCAGAAGGCCAAGAUAUCAUCUCCUUGCUGGACAUCGCCUCACCCUUUUUCAAGGA